rnacentral:rRNA from 1 species
AACCGAGUCUUAAUUGGGCGUUAAGUUGCAGGGUAUAGACCCGAAACCCGGUGAUCUAGCCAUGGGCAGGUUGAAGGUUGGGUAACACUAACUGGAGGACCGAACCGACUAAUGUUGAAAAAUUAGCGGAUGACCUGUGGCUGGGGGUGAAAGGCCAAUCAAACCGGGAGAUAGCUGGUUCUCCCCGAAAGCUAUUUAGGUAGCGCCUCGUGAAUUCAUCUCCGGGGGUAGAGCACUGUUUCGGCUAGGGGGCCAUCCCGGCUUACCAACCCGAUGCAAACUGCGAAUACCGGAGAAUGUUAUCACGGGAGACACACGGCGGGUGCUAACGUCCGUCGUGAAGAGGGAAACAACCCAGACCGCCAGCUAAGGUCCCAAAGUCAUGGUUAAGUGGGAAACGAUGUGGGAAGGCCCAGACAGCCAGGAUGUUGGCUUAGAAGCAGCCAUCAUUUAAAGAAAGCGUAAUAGCUCACUGGUCGAGUCGGCCUGCGCGGAAGAUGUAACGGGGCUAAACCAUGCACCGAAGCUGCGGCAGCGACACUGUGUGUUGUUGGGUAGGGGAGCGUUCUGUAAGCCUGUGAAGGUGUGUCGUGAGGCAUGCUGGAGGUAUCAGAAGUGCGAAUGCUGACAUAAGUAACGAUAAAGCGGGUGAAAAGCCCGCUCGCCGGAAGACCAAGGGUUCCUGUCCAACGUUAAUCGGGGCAGGGUGAGUCGACCCCUAAGGCGAGGCCGAAAGGCGUAGUCGAUGGGAAACGGGUUAAUAUUCCCGUACUUGGUGUUACUGCGAAGGGGGGACGGAGAAGGCUAUGUUGGCCGGGCGACGGUUGUCCCGGUUUAAGCGUGUAGGUGUGUGUUCCAGGUAAAUCCGGUUCACUUUAACACUGAGGCGUGACGACGAGGCACUACGGUGCUGAAGCAACAAAUGCCCUGCUUCCAGGAAAAGCCUCUAAGCAUCAGGUAACAUCAAAUCGUACCCCAAACCGACACAGGUGGUCAGGUAGAGAAUACCAAGGCGCUUGAGAGAACUCGGGUGAAGGAACUAGGCAAAAUGGUGCCGUAACUUCGGGAGAAGGCACGCUGACACGUAGGUGAAGUGAUUUACUCAUGGAGCUGAAGUCAGUCGAAGAUACCAGCUGGCUGCAACUGUUUAUUAAAAACACAGCACUGUGCAAACACGAAAGUGGACGUAUACGGUGUGACGCCUGCCCGGUGCCGGAAGGUUAAUUGAUGGGGUCAGCGCAAGCGAAGCUCCUGAUCGAAGCCCCGGUAAACGGCGGCCGUAACUAUAACGGUCCUAAGGUAGCGAAAUUCCUUGUCGGGUAAGUUCCGACCUGCACGAAUGGCGUAAUGAUGGCCAGGCUGUCUCCACCCGAGACUCAGUGAAAUUGAACUCGCUGUGAAGAUGCAGUGUACCCGCGGCAAGACGGAAAGACCCCGUGAACCUUUACUAUAGCUUGACACUGAACAUUGAGCCUUGAUGUGUAGGAUAGGUGGGAGGCUUUGAAGCGUGG